CUGGUGCGUAGCCUGCGUGCGCCAAUUGUUUUUUUCUCCUGGAGGGAAGCUAAAUUGAAGUGUUUUUAUUUUCGUGUUUUCCUGAGGAGGAGUUCUUGAGCCACUCACAGGCCAUUUCUGUUUGGUAUGUUGGGAAGAACAUAUAUUGGGAGCCAGUGAACGUGGUCCUGGCUUUAUGGCCAUAGGUGCCUGACUUAAGCUUUGACUGCAGAGGCAUCCACUGCAAAGAGACGUCCACUUCAGUGAUGGCUAUUUCAAAUAAACACAUUGCCAGCCACAGGACUAGAUAAAGAGCCAGGUUACCUCCCCGCACUGAGGUUCCUUUGUUUUAGAGAUCUUGGUUGUUUUUAAUAACUGACCAUUUGGGCCACACUUUUUUUUCUCUCCCUGCACUUUAAAUUCCUACUGUUAUGUUUUAAAUUUACUACUAAAGAGUGAGCCUGGGAAACCCUAGACUCUCACCCUUGAUCCCAGGGGUGAACCCCGGGGCUCAUAGGCUCUCUCUUGCUAGCAUGUGUGCAUGUGCUCUCUCCCUCCUUCUCUCCCUUCGCCCAUGCUGUGUGGCCCCAGGUGUGCUAUGUAAUAUCUGGAUCUUGUAAGUAAUAAACCUUUAUUUUUUUCAAA